rnacentral:ribozyme from 1 species
UGCCCAGCAACUCCUAUCCCUGCCUCCACGCGGUACCGGCCGGAAACUAUGAGCAACCUUAGGGAAGAUCGGGUAACCAACGGGAACUUUGGUCGGAGGCUGACAGGGAAGG